UACGGAGGGGGCUAGCGUUGUUCGGAAUUACUGGGCGUAAAGCGCGCGUAGGCGGACCUGCAAGUCGGGGGUGAAAGCCCGAGGCUCAACCUCGGAACUGCCUUCGAUACUGCGGGUCUCGAGUCCGGGAGAGGUGAGUGGAAUUCCUAGUGUAGAGGUGAAAUUCGUAGAUAUUAGGAAGAACACCAGUGGCGAAGGCGGCCAACUGGUCCGGUACUGACGCUGAGGUGCGAAAGCGUGGGGAGCAAACAGG
rnacentral:rRNA from 1 species